rnacentral:rRNA from 1 species
GACGAACGCUGGCGGCGUGCCUAAUACAUGCAAGUAGAACGCUGAAGCUUGGUGCUUGCACCGAGCGGAUGAGUUGCGAACGGGUGAGUAACGCGUAGGUAACCUGCCUGGUAGCGGGGGAUAACUAUUGGAAACGAUAGCUAAUACCGCAUAAGAGUAGAUGUUGCAUGACAUUUGCUUAAAAGGUGCAAUUGCAUCACUACCAGAUGGACCUGCGUUGUAUUAGCUAGUUGGUGAGGUAACGGCUCACCAAGGCAACGAUACAUAGCCGACCUGAGAGGGUGAUCGGCCACACUGGGACUGAGACACGGCCCAGACUCCUACAGGAGGCAGCAGUAGGGAAUCUUCGGCAAUGGACGGAAGACUGACCGAGAAACGCCGCGUGAGUGAAGAAGGUUUUCGGAUCGGAAAGCUCUGUUGUAAGAGAAGAACGAGUGUGAGAGUGGAAAGUUCACACUGUGACGGUAUCUUACCAGAAAGGGACGGCUAACUACGUG